AGCGGUCAUCUGUUUUAAUCAAUCCCUUGCUUACAGAAACCACUCUAUUUCCUCUGAUACAAAGGUAAUGAGCAUCAGGUAAAACAAAACUAUAAUUUAUUUGCUUAUGCCAAAGUGUUCCUAAUAAUUCAGUUAAACUCAGCAAGGGUUGCAUUUCUCCGCUCGUGUGUCUGCAAAGCGCUGCAGUUUUGCAGUGACAACAAUGCAGCAAAGACUGCAAUCGCCUUGUUCUUGGCACUGGAUGGAUGCAUUGUAAGAAAUGAUCCUGGCUGGAGAAUUUGCUCUCUAAAUAGAUAAGACAGUCAAAGAUUUCUUGCCCCACGUAGACAUUUCCCGUCCUGCUUUGGAGCCAGUGGCUGCAGCUGCUGCUUUGCGCCUCGUGGGAUGCUGCAGGGUUGUUGGGGACUGCAGGCCACUACAGAAGUGCUGGAGGCAUUGCCCGGGUAGUGAGAUAAGUGCCUGCUUCUGUUGGAGUACGUGAAUUUCUGCUAAUGAGAGUUUGAAGGGAAACAUGGUGAGAAGUAGUAAGCAGCUGCAGACUGGACGUCCACCUGGGAGAGCACAGUUUGGGCAG